GUCCUGCUGGCGGGACGGCAGAUACUGACUGAGCUCUGAAGACCCGCUGGAACUCUGGGGGCCCGCCGGUGUCGGGAGGAGAGACUGAGAACUUCCUGCGAGCGUAAAUGACCUGCAGGGAGAAAGAUCUGGACUCUGACAUCCUGAUGCUGGACCGUCACAGCAUCUCUGAGGCCGAACUCACACAGGACUCCCAGCAGGGUGACGGCGCCGAGGCUGACAGCGUCCUCCAUCAUCUCUGCAGAGGUGGAGACUGAGGCAGGUGAGAGAGCAGAGAGCUUACCUGCUGGGGGGGGCGGAGCCACUGCUG